GCCUUCGUAGUGUAAAGGCCAGCACACUCGACGCGUAUUCGGAAGAUCCGAGGUUCAAAUCCCGGCGAGAGCA
rnacentral:tRNA from 1 species